rnacentral:lncRNA from 1 species
CCAUUUAGUAAGCCCUUGUGAGCAUGCUACCACCUUUAAUCGACUUGAAUUUUUAACCGGAUGUCUGCCACUUCCCAUAGCAGGGUUAGUGCAUCCCCUGGGACGGGAGGCAGUCAAGGGCAGGCACCGAGCCCAUGAAAGCCUCGACAGAGGCAGCUCUGCUCCCCUACGAGCUCCAGCAGGAAGCCCGCAAGGACCCAUUUUCCCCAUGUUCACGGAGCUGGACUGGAAGCCCAAGCUGGUCCAGCCGGCACGGGCAGUCAGAGGUUGGAAGCUGGGGGGGCCUCCCACAUUUCUGCUGGAUGCUGGGGCCCAGAGCACUGCGCUUCCUUGUCAAUCAACAUGUUGUGAUAAGGGGAAUAUUGGGGGUGCAUCUAUCACCUCAGGGGGAGAAGCAUGAGUUUAAUGGUGGAGGAAAGGUUGACCUUAGUGUAUGACAAAUUGUUUGUUUGUUUUUUUCAAUUGUUUGAGAGACCUAGAUUUUCUUUAAUGUUCGGGUAGGUGGGGACCAAGGAGGCAGCCAGGACAGCACCUAAUCACAGGUGCUGAGAAGGGCUCAAGUCCCAGGCAGGUCCUGGUGGCUCACGCCUGCACUCUUAGCACUUUGGGAGGCCAACGUGGGUGGAUCACUUGAGGUCAGGAGUUUGAGACCAGCCUGGCCAAUAUGAUGAAACCCCAUCUCUACUAAAAAUGCAAACAUUAGUCAGGAGUGGUGGCACACACCUGUAAUCCCAGCUACUCAGGUGGCUGAGGCAUGAGAAUUGCUUGAACCGGGAAUGUGGAGGUUGCAGUCAGCCAAAAUUGUGCCAUUGCAUUGCAGCCUGGGCUACAGAGCAAGACUCUGCCUCAAAAAAAAGGGGGGGCUCAGGUCCCCCAAUUCCUGCUUGGCACCUGGUACCCAGCUCCCAUGGGAGACAGCAGGGACCGCCUCCCGCGAGGAAAACUCCUUACAAUUCUUCCCUUAAAUAACUGUUGAAAGGAUGAUGGAGACGCUCCUGGGGUGACCGAAGGAAAAAGGGGAAACCCAUGGUAACAUGAAAUGAACUCUCAGGAGGUUCAGAAAUUGUGUCUCGGGGUAUUUAAAGCUCAUCUGGGAAGAGCGUUAGAUGCCUUAGAGGAACUUCCCCAAAGGGCAGGGAAGUGUCAAAUCGGCCCCUUGCUCCGCUCCUGACUCCCCGCCAUACAGGGCAUUGCCGCACCUUGAGGGCCCAGCAUGGGCGUUCCUGCCUCUGAGCCUCUCUCCCUGCUGCCCUUUCUGCCCAGCCAGGAUGGCCACCCACUGCCAAUGUGAGCUCACAAGUCAUCAUCUCUCUGGAGGGUCCUAGUCCCCACCCGGCCUUCUAGGCUGUGUUGUUUCCCUUUUCCGUUCCCACACCACCUUUGCUCAUUUCUGUGAAAGCACCGAUCCCAUCGCAUGCAACACUCGCCCCCCGCAGCACAUGUCCUAUUGUGGUGCACUCUUGAAGAGUGGGCCAAUCUUAUCGUUUAAAAAAAUUUCCUUUGACUCCAGCUAAAUGCACAUGGAAUAUUCUAAGCAGAUGUUUGAAUGCAUGAGUUUGCAUUUGCACGCGUGCACACACACACACACACACACGGCCCUCCAUAGCAAAAUGCAUCACUUUUUCGUUAUUUAAAACAUUUAGAUAAUUCUGGUAAAAUUAUGCUCUGUUUUCCCCUAUGUUUUCUUCCUUGUUUUGCAAUCCCCUUGUCUACCAAGGAUCUCAGCAAAAAAAAAAAAAAAAAAAAAAAGUCUUUCCCUUGGAUAAUGCUCGUAUUAGCUUCCUAUUGCUGCUGUAACACAUUGCGACACACUCGGGGCUGAAAACUGCACGGAUGCAUUGCCUUCCAGUUCUGUGAGUUGGAGUCUUGGCGGGUCUCCGGCGGCGCCCGGUUCUGGAGGCUCAGGUCGGGGAACCGCGUCCUUCCCUUCCCAGCCUCCAGAGGGCGCCCCUGCUCCUCGGCCGGUCUCAGACCUAAGCGCGCGCCUGGCCUAGGAGCGCUUGCGCCAAGUCCCAGAAGGAAAACCCGCUUUUUAGCGGGUAGAGGAUCAAAUGAUGGCAGAGGAAAACACGCAAGCACAAAAAGAAAUGGAAAUGGAUAGACGUUUUCCAUUAAAAAAAAAACUCACUACUUUUUCUCCUAUAUCUUCAGUAUCUGUGUCUUCUUUUCUAACACAACACAAAAUACAAAACUGAAUAGAAAACAAAUGUGAAUUUUAAAAAAAGCAGUCAACUUGAUUUAUCACAAACAUACGUGCAAGCUAUGCUCUAGCAAAUAUAUGUCGGUGUGUUUUAUGUUCGUUCAAAUUACGUAAGUCACACAACAGAAGGAAAUAUUUCAAUUCUUCAUGGUCUUCUAUAAAGCACACAACUUACUGGAAUUGUGGGUUCUCUACCAUUUGCACACAUUUGAAGAUUUUAAUCAGAUCCAGUUGGUUUUCUUAUAUUGCAUCCUUUGGUUUUCUGAUGCAGGGCCUGCAGCUGCAUCUGCUUAAAUGCUGAACAUUUCAGGAAACUCCCUUCUGACCAUGGCAGCUUAAUUCACUGGUAGCCACGUCAAGAUUUGAGGCACUUUUCUCCUGUUGGGCAGUCUCCGCCCUUCCUGCACCUUUUUGCAGCUGGCCACGCCCCACAGAACUCAGAGCACACCUAUGCCUUGCACUGUUCUGGGACAUCCUCGAGUGUCGGUGGACAGAUCAAUCGUCUUACCGUGGCUGCUUCUCCUCAGCCGGAGAGAGACCACUGAGGCGCAGAGGAAUGAGAGGAGUCCAGCUAUGGCCUAGGCAAGUCCCCUGGCCUCAUGGACCUCAACCCAUUGGCUAACAGAGAAAAAGUGCUGCCCUGCAUACCUCAUGUGAUACGACUGGAAGAGAUAAUGGUCAUAAAAACAUAUAGUCUUUUUAAAAAGUAGUGGAACUAUCUCAGGUUCUUUAACCUUUCCUAACAGUACCCAUAACCUAUUUCACUGGACAGGUCCACCUAGUUCAGAGUGCAGUGAGACUGUUACACCUCCCACAGCCUGGACAUCACACUCAGGACAUCAUAUGUCUGUUGUUUUCUUUAAAAAUUGCAGGGACAUUAUGCAGUUGGAAUCACCUCUGUAGACAGCAGGUAGAGUGUGUUACUCUAAGAGGUGAACCUGCUAAAAACAUCAAUCAAGUCACACACAGUUGCUAAAUGCUCAGUAGAAAAACAAACUCUGCUACAGGGAAG